AGCGAACGCUGGCGGCAGGCUUAACACAUGCAAGUCGAGCGGGCACUUCGGUGUCAGCGGGAGACGGGUGAGUAACACGUGGGAACGUACCCUUCGGUUCGGAAUAACGCUGGGAAACUAGCGCUAAUACCGGAUACGCCCUUUUGGGGAAAGGUUUACUGCCGAAGGAUCGGCCCGCGUCUGAUUAGCUAGUUGGUGGGGUAAUGGCCUACCAAGGCGACGAUCAGUAGCUGGUCUGAGAGGAUGAUCAGCCACACUGGGACUGAGACACGGCCCAGACUCCUACGGGAGGCAGCAGUGGGGAAUAUUGGACAAUGGGCGCAAGCCUGAUCCAGCCAUGCCGCGUGAGUGAUGAAGGCCUUAGGGUUGUAAAGCUCUUUUGUCCGGGACGAUAAUGACGGUACCGGAAGAAUAAGCCCCGGCUAACUUCGUG
rnacentral:rRNA from 1 species